AAGCCUUAAACUUAUGAGUAAGGAAAAUAACGAUUCGGGGUCAUGCCCGAAUCCUCACUGUGAUGCCCCAAUACUCACUGCUAAUGUGAGACAAAUUUUUGUGUGGGUAAAUGUUGCCCCUAAGGUGACCCACCUACUUUGUGGGAUGCCUGGGAGUUGUGAUCUGCCCG